AGUAACAUGGAAAAAUACAGUGAGGUUAAACUACUAGCUUCCAUCUUGCUCUAAGGGAAGACAAAUACACAACUCUGAUCAAAAGGAAUGGUAUACUUUGAAGACUACCCUCAUUUGGAUGUGUUAGCAGUUCUGCAUACAAAUCACUGUUCAUCCUCCGAUGGAACUACAUCUCCAAAUUCUUCACUCUGGCUUCAGAUUCAUGUCUGCUAGGCCCUUCCCUAAACAACUGGUGGCUCCGCUUUCCAAGGGCUCACCACAUUGAUGGCAAGCUUACUAUGAACACUUGAUCAGCAUCUACUGCAGCUAAGGACUCUCAAACUCCAGAGAGCCACAAGUCAGCUUUCCCAGCCGACCUCAGAAA